rnacentral:rRNA from 1 species
AACGAACGCUGGCGGCAUGCCUAACACAUGCAAGUCGAACGAGACCUUCGGGUCUAGUGGCGCACGGGUGCGUAACGCGUGGGAACCUGCCCUUAGGUUCGGAAUAACUCCCCGAAAGGGGUGCUAAUACCGGAUAAUGUCUUCGGACCAAAGAUUUAUCGCCUUUGGAUGGGCCCGCGUUGGAUUAGCUAGUUGGUAGGGUAAAAGCCUACCAAGGCGACGAUCCAUAGCUGGUCUGAGAGGAUGAUCAGCCACACUGGGACUGAGACACGGCCCAGACUCCUACGGGAGGCAGCAGUGGGGAAUAUUGGACACUGGGCGAAAGCCUGAUCCAGCAAUGCCGCGUGAGUGAUGAAGGCCUUAGGGUUGUAAAGCUCUUUUACCCGGGAUGAUAAUGACGGUACCGGGAGAAUAAGCUCCGGCUAACUCCGUG